UACUUACCUGGUCAUUUCUUCCAUCUACUUAAUGUUCAACAUCCAGACCUGAUCUGCCACAAUCUCUUUCUGACAGGAAAUAAUGAAAUGAUUGAUAUGCUACCUCAUUGCCCUUUACAGUCAUUGUCAGGGUCCCUGGUAUUGGAUUGUUGUUCUGGAAAGCUCUAUAGAGCACUGCUCAGCCAGUCGUCUUUAUUACAGCUUCUGCAGAACACUUGCUUAGACUGCGAGAAGAUGGCUGCGUUGCACUGUGCGCUCUACUGCGGUCAAGGUGCGCAGUUCCUGGAAGGCCAGAUUAUUCAAUGGAUUUCUGAGAAUGUCUCUGCCUGCCAUUCAUUUGACCUCAUUCAGGAAUUUAUAAUUGCUUCUUCAUACUGGAGUGUAUAUUCAGAGACAAGUAACAUGGACAAACUAUUGCCACAUUCCUCAGUGCUCACUUGGAAUACAGAAAUUCCUGGAAUAACUCUUGUGACAGAAGACAUUGCAUUGCCUCUUAUGAAGGUGCUCAGCUUUAAGGGCUACUGGGAAAAACUGAACUCCAACCUAGAAUAUGUUAAGUACGCCAAGCCACACUUCCACUAUAACAACAGUGUGGUCAGGAGAGAGUGGCACAACCUGAUCUCUGAAGAGGUAUGAGUGGGUCAGUGAGAACAAAGCCAGCAGCGAGGCAUAGUGGACUGGAUCCAGGUGAUGCCUUUAAAUCAUAAGGCUGGCUUCCAUGUGCAGCACUCUUCCCAAUUGCCAGGGACUUGAUCAUUGUCAUUACUGAUCUCAAUAGGCAGAGAUGCUUCUAUGAUCUCUGUUCUCCUAGGGAGGAAACUGAAAAGCAGAAAGUUUAAGGGGACACACAGCACAUUCAUAGUAGAAGUAUGAUUAAUAUCCAUGUCUCAGAUGUGUUCUCAGGUUACUUAUGUAGUUAAAAAUUGAUAUUAAAAAAUCUAGGUGUUCCCAACUUAGUGGUCAUUAGGGGUUGGGGUAGUUGGAGGGAGAAUAGUGGACGUGACUCACUGUCCAGGGGUGACCCAGGGAAAUCUUUGGGGGUGAUCGAAGACUUCUAUGUGUUGAUUGUGGUGGUACAUUGUGGGACAUGAAUCUAAACAUGAUAAAAUGACAUAGAAUGACACACACACACAUUGUGCCAAUGUCAAUUUUUGAUUUUGAUAUUGUGCUCUAGUUAGGUAAGAUAUAAGCACUGAGGAGACUGGGUGGAGGGUACAUUGCAUCUCUCUCUAGUAUCGCUGCAUGUAGAUUAGUGUUGUUGUGUGUAGUAUAUAGUUGACUCGCAGUUUCCUGUGAAUCUGUAAUUGUUUCAGAAUAAAAUAUUUCUUAAAACUUUAAAAAAAAUCUAGGUGUUCUGAUUACCUGGAAAGUAUAUUUCUUCUCUCUGAUGCUCUUAACUGUAUUGCAUUAUAUCCUUGAUGUGAAAAGUCACCGAUAAAACCUUUACCUUCCACAUUCCUGACGUGUUCUCACUCCUAGAAAACAGGAAAAAGAAGGUCCGCGGCAUACGUGAGGAAUAUUCUUGAUAAUGCAGUAAAGGUGAUUUCUAACCUAGAAGCAAGAAAUUUGGGGCCAAGAUUAACACCCCUCCUGCAGGAGGAAGACAGCCACCAGCGGCUGCUCAUGGGGCUGAUGGUGUCUGAGCUAAAAGACCAUUUUUUGAGACACCUACAGGGUGUAGAAAAGAAGAAAAUUGAACAGAUGGUUCUGGACUACAUUUCAAAACUGCUGGAUCUCAUUUGCCACAUCGUAGAAACCAGUUGGAGGAAACAUAAUCUUCAUUCCUGGGUUCUCCACUUCAAUAGUCGUGGCAGUGCUGCUGAAUUUGCAGUUUUUCACAUCAUGACCAGGAUUCUGGAAGCUACAAACAGUUUGUUUUUACCUCUGCCUCCUGGUUUUCAUACUCUGCACACCAUCCUCGGGGUCCAGUGUCUCCCUUUGCAUAACCUGCUGCAUUGCAUUGACAGUGGAGUGUUGCUUCUCACUGAAACAGCUGUCAUAAGGCUCAUGAAAGAUCUGGAUAAUACAGAGAAAAAUGAAAAACUGAAAUUCAGUAUCAUUGUGCGGCUUCCUCCGCUUAUUGGGCAGAAGAUUUGUAGACUUUGGGAUCAUCCUAUGAGUUCUAACAUCAUUUCACGGAACCACGUGACGCGACUGCUUCAGAACUAUAAGAAACAGCCUCGGAAUUCUAUGAUUAACAAGUCAUCGUUCAGUGUAGAAUUUCUGCCUCUGAACUACUUCAUUGAAAUUCUGACAGAUAUAGAGUCCUCCAAUCAAGCCCUGUAUCCUUUCGAAGGACAUGACAAUGUGGAUGCAGAAUUUGUAGAGGAAGCAGCUCUGAAACACACCGCGAUGCUUUUAGGCUUAUGAAAAAGAAAACGCAAUUGGAUCUGCUGCUGCCAUUUUAAUCUUGCUUAUUAACCUUACUCCUUUGAGAAUUCUUUAACAAUAUUUAAAAUUGGUAACAAAAAUAGUCUAGCCAUAAUUGUUUAGCCAUGUGAGUUUCAGGUUGGUACACGUUCAGACAGAACUGCUGUAUCACAUUCCAAUUUUGAAUAGCCAGCAAGCAAUCAAGUGUAGAGAAAUGAUAAAUGGCCUAAGAAGGCAUACAGUGGCAUAAACGAUGCUCUUCCUAGUAGCUUAAUAGGCCACAAGCUAGUUUCAGUUGCACUCUGAAAUAAAAUAUGCUUUAAAAAUGUAGGGAACAGUGCUUAGAAAAGCAAAAACUAGGUGUGUCAUUGAAAUAAUAGGCAUAACAAUUAAAUGUUACAUAAGAACACUAUUUGGAAAGAGGCUCCUUUUAAAAACUGAAUUUGUACUAAAUCAGAUUUGCCAUGUCCAGUACAGAAUAAUUUGUACUUAGUAUUUGCAGCAGGGUUUGUCUUUGUGAAUUCAGAUGAAACGUAUUUAAUUUUUUUUAUUUAUAAAAGGUUGAUCUAGGAAUAUUUUGUCAGUCAUUAAAAAACCUGAAAACAAA
rnacentral:sRNA from 1 species